UUGAAUGUCGCGGUUACGCACAUUUGUCCGGAAUGGGGAUGACAUCUUCAUCCCUGAAACUGUUUUCAUCCUGGAGGAGACUGCAGGAGGCAGAGGAGAUAUGUGAAAGAAGGGUUAGUACAGCAUGCCAAACUGACCCCUGGGUGCCAGUGUUCCUGUGCUGCAGUAGAGGAGAGGUCCACCGGGACCAUCACUAAAGAGCUCAGUGCCCAGCUAGAUUGUGCUCACAACCAUCAGUAUACAUCUGAGGCCUGCCCCUAUACGCCACAGAUGGACCUGACGGAGAGUGAGAUCUGCGAAGACCAUAAAAGAUCACUUUGGGGGAGCGGGCUGGUGUUCCGAAAAUGGAGAAGGAGCAGGCCAUUCAACAGCAAAUUCAAAGAUACACCCAUCCAUAAAGGGAAUCGGAGUGGACUUGUUUUUACACCAAUAUUUCUUUUUAUACCCGUUUCAACCUUGUCCCGGUCCUGCUGUUUCGACUCUCUCUCUCAACCUAUGAAUGCUCAGCUAUGAAAAGCCAACUGACAUUUGCUCCUGAGGUGUUGAACUUUUGCACCCUCUAUAACCACUGUGGUUAUUAUUUUUUAUAUAAAAAGGGCUCUUGUAAAAUACAUUUGAUUGUUUGCUGUGCUGGAUCCUGUGUAUUCACUAACUGUCUGAGUGAUGGGACAUUUUUAUAGUAUCUGUAACAUAUUUCGGUGUGUAUUUAAUCUGCAUCUUAACUUCUUAAAAUGGCAAUCAGCAGCAGAAACAAUAACAAAGUGCCUCCCUGCUCUUUUGGUAAAAAUCUGAGGGAUGGAGAAAUGUAACCACUCUCAAAUUCAUAGACAGCGCUAAAGAUGCAAGGACUGACCAUCCAUGAUAUCAAAAUAGUAAUCAUGUUUCUAUGAUCUGUUUCCACUACCAUGUACACAGUUCGCUUUGGAUAAAUGCGUCUGCUAAAUGGCAUAUGUCAUUAAAGUCUACUUUGAUGAACAGCCAAAAAGCACAUCAAAUCUGAUAUUUUAAGCCACAUUCCAAGUCUGAUACAAAUCUGAUUCCCGGCCAUGUGACUUGCGUCUGAACGGUCAAAUGUGAUUUAUUUGUCCUCAAGAAGUGUUUUUUUUAGACUGUUAUUUGGCAUAUCUUGUUGCUCACUAGCUACUGUGUUCACAGUUUGACAAGAACAUGUGGUAGCUUAAUAGCUUGUUAAUUGUUUACAAAUAAAUUAGUCAAUGUGCUAGAAAGCUAAAUGGCUAGUUGAAUGCUGUGGCUAGCCAAACAUUAUUUGUUUGGAAAGUUGGAUCAUCUUAUCCUUUGCGGCUUUAAAAGUGUUUUUACAUUAUAAUUUUCUACAUUAA